AAUUCGAUGCAACGCGAAGAACCUUACCAUCCCUUGACAUCCAGUGAAUUUUCUAGAGAUAGAGAAGUGCCUUCGGGAACACUGAGACAGGUGCUGCAUGGCUGUCGUCAGCUCGUGUUGUGAGAUGUUGGGUUAAGUCCCGCAACGAGCGCAACCCUUAUCCUUAGUUGCCAGCACGUAAAGGUGGGAACUCUGGGGAGACUGCCGGUGAUAAACCGGAGGAAGGUGGGGACGACGUCAAGUCAUCAUGGCCCUUACGGGAUGGGCUACACACGUGCUACAAUGGCGCGUACAAAGGGAAGCAAGCUAGCGAUAGUGAGCGGAUCUCAAAAAGCGCGUCGUAGUCCGGAUCGGAGUCUGCAACUCGACUCCGUGAAGUCGGAAUCGCUAGUAAUCGCGGAUCAGAAUGCCGCGGUGAAUACGUUCCCGGGCCUU
rnacentral:rRNA from 1 species